CCUACGGGUGGCAGCAGUGAGGAAUAUUGGUCAAUGGACGCAAGUCUGAACCAGCCAAGCCGCGUGCGGGAAGACGGCUCUAUGGAUUGUAAACUUCUUUUGUCCGAGGGCAAACGCCGCUACGCGUGGCGGUCUGAGAGUAUCGGACGAAUAAGGAUCGGCUAACUCCGUGCCAGCAGCCGCGGUAAUACGGAGGAUUCAAGCGUUAUCCGGAUUUAUUGGGUUUAAAGGGUGAGUAGGCGGUAGGAUAAGUUAGGGGUGAAAUCCAGAGGGCUAACUUCGGUGGUGCCUUUGAUACUGUUCUGCUAGAGAGUAGGAGAGGUAUGCGGAAUGCGUGGUGUAGCGGUGAAAUGCAUAGAGAUCACACAGAACACCGAUUGCGAAGGCAGCAUACCAGCGCUCAUCUGACGCUGAGGCACGAAAGUGUGGGGAUCGAACAGGAUUAGAUACCCGUGUAGUC
rnacentral:rRNA from 1 species